rnacentral:rRNA from 1 species
AUUGAACGCUGGCGGCAGGCCUAACACAUGCAAGUCGAGCGGCAGCGGGAGGAAGCUUGCUUCCUUGCCGGCGAGCGGCGGACGGGUGAGUAAGGUAUGGGGAUCUGGCCGAAGGCGGGGGAUAACCACUGGAAACGGUGGCUAAUACCGCAUAAUCUCUAAGGAGCAAAGUGGGGGACCGUUCAGGCCUCACACCUUCGGAUGAACCCAUAUGAAAUUAGCUAGUAGGUGGGGUAAUGGCUCACCUAGGCGACGAUCUCUAGCUGGUCUGAGAGGAUGAUCAGCCACACUGGGACUGAGACACGGCCCAGACUCCUACGGGAGGCAGCAGUGAGGAAUAUUGCACAAUGGGCGCAAGCCUGAUGCAGCCAUGCCGCGUGUAUGAAGAAGGCCUUCGGGUUGUAAGGUACUUUCAGUCGUGAGGAAGGUGUUAAGGUUAAUAACCUUAGCAAUUGACGUUAGCGACAGAAGAAGCACCGGCUAACUCCGUGCCAGCCGCCGCCGUAA